rnacentral:rRNA from 1 species
GUGGGGAAUCUUCCGCAAUGGACGAAAGUCUGACGGAGCAACGCCGCGUGAGUGAAGAAGGUUUUCGAAUCGUAAAGCUCUGUUGUCAGGGACGAGCAGGGGGAGUAUCAACAACACUCUCUCAUGACGGUACCUGACGAGGAAGCCACGGCUAACUACGUGCCAGCAGCCGCGGUAAUACGUAGGUGGCGAGCGUUGUCCGGAAUUAUUGGGCGUAAAGGGAGCGCAGGUGGGAAAGUAAGUCUGCUUUAAAAGUGCGGGGCUCAACCCCGUGAGGGAGUGGAAACUACUUUUCUUGAGUGCAGGAGAGGAAAGCGGAAUUCCUAGUGUAGCGGUGAAAUGCGUAGAUAUUAGGAGGAACACCAGUGGCGAAGGCGGCUUGCUGGACAGAUACUGACGCUGAGGUGCGAAAGCGUGGGGAGCGAACAGGAUUAGAUACCCGAGUAGUCC